UACGGGGGGGGCAAGCGUUGUUCGGAAUUACUGGGCGUAAAGGGCUCGUAGGCGGCCAACUAAGUCGGACGUGUAAUCCCUCGGCUUAACCGGGGAACUGCGUCCGAUACUGGAUGGCUUGAGUUCGGGAGAGGGAUGCGGAAUUCCAGGUGUAGCGGUGAAAUGCGUAGAUAUCUGGAGGAACACCGGUGGCGAAGGCGGCAUCCUGGACCGACACUGACGCUGAGGAGCGAAAGCCAGGGGAGCAAACGGG
rnacentral:rRNA from 1 species